rnacentral:rRNA from 1 species
UAAUCGCAGAUCAGCAUGCUGCGGUGAAUACGUUCCCGGGCCUUGUACACACCGCCCGUCACACCAUGAGAGUCGGGAACACCCGAAGUCGGUAGUCUAACCUCGUGAGGACGCCGCCGAAGGUGGGCUUGAUAAUUGGGGUGAAGUCGUAACAAGGUAGC